rnacentral:rRNA from 1 species
UACAGAGGUCCCAAGCGUUGUUCGGAUUCACUGGGCGUAAAGGGUGCGUAGGUGGCGAGGUAAGUCGGAUGUGAAAGCUCGGAGCUCAACUCCGAAAUGGCAUUGGAAACUACCUUGCUCGAGGGUUGGAGGGGGGACUGGAAUUCUCGGUGUAGCAGUGAAAUGCGUAGAUAUCGAGAGGAACACCAGUAGCGAAGGCGGCACUCUGGGCCGGUACUGACGCUGAGGAGCGAAAGCGUGGGGAGCGAACAGG